rnacentral:rRNA from 1 species
GACGAACGCUGGCGGCGUGCUUAACACAUGCAAGUCGAACGGAAAGGCCCUGCUUUUGUGGGGUGCUCGAGUGGCGAACGGGUGAGUAACACGUGAGUAACCUGCCCUUGACUUUGGGAUAACUUCAGGAAACUGGGGCUAAUACCGGAUAGGAGCUCCUGCUGCAUGGUGGGGGUUGGAAAGUUUCGGCGGUUGGGGAUGGACUCGCGGCUUAUCAGCUUGUUGGUGGGGUAGUGGCUUACCAAGGCUUUGACGGGUAGCCGGCCUGGGGGGGUGACCGGCAAACUGGGGGAGGAGAUACGGCCGAGACCCCUAGGGGGGGCAGGAGGGGGGAAUAUGGCAAAAGGGGGGGAAGCCUGAUGCAGCAACGCCGGGGGCGGGAUGAGGGCCUUCGGGUUGAAACCCGCUUUCGCCUGGGACGAAGCGUGGGUGACGGUAAUGGGAAAAGAAGCACCGGCUAACUACGU